CAUGAUGGUUUUGCUUUUUAUAGAAUUUCAUAAGAAUGAAAUAAUAUGGCAUGUGCCUUUUUUGUGUUUGAAUUCCUUAACUUAGCAUAAUGUCUUUGACAUCCAUCCAUGUUGUGACAUGUGAUACUAUUUUGUUCCUUUCUAUUACUGGGUAGUAUUCCAUUGUGUGGAUACUCCAUGGUAUUUAUGCAUUCACCAAAGCCAAUAAGCAUCUGGGCUGCUUCCAGUAUUUGGCUAUUAAGAAUAAUGCUGCUAUAAACAUGUGUGUACAUGUUUGCGAAGACAUGUUUCUAUUUCUCUUUGAGAAAUAGGAGGAGUGAGUUUGUUGGGUCAUACAGUAAGUAUAUGCUAAACCUUCUAAGAUUCUGACUAGUUUUUAGAGUAGCUGUACCAUUUUUCAUUUCCACCAGCAAUAAAUGAAAGUUCCAUUCACUCUGCGUCUUCACCAACACUUAGUAUUGUCAGCCUUUUUACAUUUAGCCAUUUUAGUGGGCACAACAAUGUUGCAUUUUGGUUUCAUUUGCAUUUUCUGAAAGCUAGUGAUGUUAAGCAUCUUUCCUCUAUGUGCUUGCCAUUCAUAUAUCUUCUUUGGUGAAGUGUCUACAAAUCUUUGAGCACUUUUAAUCAUUGAGUUCACUAAAUGGGAAGGGAUCAGUACCCAGAGCUGACAAUUACGGUCAAAGUGUCUCAAACUUAGGGAUAUCAAAGAAAGGCCUAACUAUGUGUGGUCUUAUUUCAAAUCAUCUUGUAUGGUCACAUCUAAACAAGGUUAGGAACAGUGGUAAAAUCAACUGCGGCCUUUGCUUUGAUUUAAAAACAUUCUUAUCUAUCGGGGGAAGAUUUACCAGGAAGUUAUGGAAUCUUGAGCUUCAGGAAUCUAGAGUUCCACGGACAGGCCCCUCCCAAGUCCUGGGGAGGGCCUUGCAAUGUGUUUAUGUUCAUUCUAAGCAAAUAUAAAUGUGUCUUCCUUAUUCACAUGUGUAAUUUCGUAUUCUUAUUUUAGCAAACACCCCUGCCUCAAAAGAUAUAUUUCAAGCUCUACAAAGAACUCAGGGACAAGCCAGCUAGAGUUAUUUGAAUGAUUUAAGAGUAUAGCUGCAAAGACAAUGAAUGUCCUCUAAAUUAUGAGAGAGACUGUGUGAUGUGUGCAGGUGUGUGUAUUCAGGCCUUGUAUGCAUAAGUGUGUAAGGGACUAUAUGUGAAUAUGUGUGUCAGGGGUGUGCUGUGUGCUGGCAUAGAGUCUAGAAGAGGAAGAAUAACCAUAAGCUUGGUAAAAUAUCUCAGAAAAUAUCCUCUAACUUAUUUGUCUCUGUUUUCUCUGCUUUAUUUAAAAGGACAGUUUUAACAAAAACUAUGUUUUUUUAAUUUUUAGUUUUUAUUUUUAUUUCUAUAGAACUUUGGGGGAACAGGUGGUAUUUGGUUACAUGAAUAAGUUAUUUAGUGGUGAUUUGUGAGAUUUUGGCUCACCCAUCACCGAAGAGUGUCCACUAUACCCAGUGGGUAGUCUUUGAUCCCUCACCCCCUCCCACCCUCUCUCCCAAGUCUCCAAAGUCCAUUUUAUCCUACUCAUGUCUUUGUGUCCUCAUAGCUUAGCUCCCACUUAUGUGUGAGAACAUAUGCCACAACCUGGAUGGAAUUGGAGGCCAUUAUUCUAAGGGAAGUAAUGCGGGAAUGGAAAACUAUAUUGUUUUUAAAACCCUGAGUUCCAAGAACAGAUAAUUGGCACAGAGGUCUGAAUCAAGACAAGCUGACAACACAUCUCAGAGAUCAGCAGAGCACAGUCAUAGAUGGGGUCCUUGUUCAGGUAUCCUCAGUUCUUCCACCUAGGAAUUAGAUUUCUUUACGGCCUCUCACAUCAUACCUUCAUUUCCAAACAAGUGCACACGACUCUGGGAUCGAGCUCCCAUCUGUCUCAAGGACUCUCUAGAAUCUUGGGUAGACCACUCGGGAAUUUUGUCUGUAAGUGAAAGUGAAUCCUAGGUCGCAGUGAAGGUCUUUUGUAGCUGUAAUGCCCCAUUAAAAAUAAUGCCAUUACUCUUUACAUGUGCUUAAGAUCAAAGGUGAAGUAAGUUUUUAUUUGUUCAGUGUAGUCUUCCAAUCUUUUUCUAUAACUUUUCUGGGUUGUUUUUGUGGCCUGUCAUUUGUGGACGGCGUAGCAACCUCAAACCUACCUGUCUCUGGCCCCUGAGGGAAAUGUAACUGACAAAAGUCCCAGCCACUGUGCCCCGAGACCCAUCUCCAUGUCCGUGCUCAGGCCAUGUUUCCCCCGGCCAAGGAUGAAGCACGCAGGUGAGCUAAGGCAGGUCCAUCCCGAAGACAUAGACGUCUCUGCUGGUAGCUUUGGAUGGGGGAAUCCUCACCAUCUUCCCAAAUUCUCUCAGGAAACUGGAGUCUCAGGUGUCUCCGCCACCUCCUUCUCUCCCUCCCUCACCUGAUAUCAUUCCACUCACUUCCCCCUCAGCAACCACUAAUCUACUUUCUGUUUUUGUAGAUUUGUCUCUUUUAGAUAUUUCAUAUAAGCAGGAUUUAUAUAACAUCUGGGCUUGUGUGUCUGGCUUCUUUUGCAAAGCAUCACAUUUUUAAAGUUCAUCUAUGUUAUAGCAUGUAUCAAUAUUUCAUUCCUCUUUACUGACAAAUAAUAUUAUAUUAUAUUAAUGUGCCACAUUUUAUGUACUCAUUCAUGAGUUGAUGGACAUUUGGGUUGUUUCUGCUUUGGGCUAUUAUAAACAAUGCACACAAAAAACUUGUGUGCAAGUUUUUCUGUGGACAUAUGUUCUCAUUUCUGUUGGGUAGACACCUCAGAGCAGAAUUGCUGAAUCAUAGCUACAUGCUAUGAUUGACAUUUUCAGAAAAUGAAAACUGUUUUCUAAAGCAACUGCACUAUUUUAUAUUCUACCAGAAGUGCAUGAGUACUCUAAUUUUUCCAUGUCCUUAAGUGUGCACUAUGCAAACUUGAUUUAAUAACAUCUAAACUUAAUCAGUCUGACUACAUUUCUAGAAAACAACACAAGAAACUUAAAAUAGAUCACCUCAAGUAGAUUAUUCCCACCUUUCUCAUGUGUUCUGGGUGGGUCAGAACCCCCCAAAUCAGAACUUACUCUUAUUUGCCAUAGUCAAAAUGUGUUUCAAUUUUACUCACAUAUUUACUAGUUGCUUCGAUUGUCACUUUUUUUCCCUCUCAUUCUUAUCUUUUUUCUAGAGUCACAUUUUUUUUCCCUUGGUGAUGCUUUCAGCAAUGCUCUGUGAGCAGUAACAUCUCGGUUUCCUUCUGUCCUUUUUAUCCUCUUUCCCUCCCUCCCUCCCUUCCUUCCUUCCUUCUCUCUUGCUCCCUCCUUCCUUCCCUCCCUCCUUCCUUCGUUCUUUCCUUCCUUCUUCUUCCUCCCUCACUCCCUCCUUCCUUCUCUCCCUCCUUCCUUCCUUCUUUUCUUCCUUCCUUUUUUUCUUUCCUUCCUUCCUCCUCUUCCC
rnacentral:lncRNA from 1 species